ACCAGCUGUGAGAUAGGAAAGGCCUGAGCUAGUCUAUGGCCAUACCACCCUGAAGGCGCCCGAUCUCGUCUGAUCUCAGAAGCUAAGCAGGGUCGGGCCUGGAGAAAGCAAAACUCUGUGAGUAACUGGAGAGAGAAAAGAUGUAGCAUACCCACACCUCAGCCAACCAGACACACAAAAUUAAUUCUUGACUUCACAAUCCAAGCUGUAUGGAGUCUAAAGAAGAACUUGGUGGAUUCUCCUCAUCCAUUCGUCCAUCUUGUGUGCCUGUGGCCACUUCUUCUCCAGCUCCCAUGUUGUGAUGGACAUCAUGGAGAGGUCCCCACGGCAAGGAACUGAGGGCAGUCUCUGGGCAACACCAGUGAGAAACUGAGGCCUUUGCUGAAACCAAGAAUCUCAGUCCAGCAGCUUGUGAGGAACACAGUCCUGCCAACAAUGGCCUGAGCAAGCUCAGAAGCAGAUCCUUCCCCCAUGGAGCCUUCUGAUGAGACUGCAGCCCCGAUCAAUACCUUGAUUGUAGCCCUGUGAGAGUCCCUGGUUCCUGAUCCACAGAAACUGUGAGGAAAUAAAUGAUGUUUUGAGCCGUGA